rnacentral:snRNA from 1 species
GAAUGCGAGAGAGAUCUGGCUAUGACAUGCGUCAGCCCCUUGAUCACUAGGAUUGGUCCAGCUUGUCUGGCUCUGCUAAGCAGGCAUCCUGUUCCUCCCUCAACACUCCGUGAGCAUCCUUUCUUUAGCUGUGUGCUUAGCUGAAGAGGAGGACCUCUCCUGAUGGAGGAGGAUUGGUCUUCAAGGCUGAGAGAGCAGCUGCACUCCCCAGCUGGGACCUCCGCACCAGCUCAGAGAGUCAAACAAACCCUGAAGAACCCUUCAGACCGAAUGCUCACAUUACUGUUU